UGUUGUAUAACCGUACAAGGAUAUAAGGGUAUAACGAUUAUUUCAGAUAAAAAUGAAGAGUUAUUUUUAAUUUAUGUUUGAAAUAGAGAGUUACUUUUAAUUUAAAUUCAAAUGAAGAGAUAUUUUUAAUUUGAAAUAUAAAAUAAAAAUUUUUAUCUAAUUUAUUAAUAUAUAUAUAUAUAUAUGAAAUAAUGCAUCAAAGAUGCAUCACGU
rnacentral:lncRNA from 1 species